rnacentral:lncRNA from 1 species
CAGUGUCGAAUUAAUUUUUUUUCUUAUAGGUUAACAGAAUCACAACACCUUCUCAGGAUUUUACCAAUAUCAACAUUGGAGCGUAAUAUAACAAAAGAAUGAAGAGAAACCUUAACCUCAAUCCAUCAUAAUCUCCCUCAGCAUGUUAGGCAUCAAGGAUAUUUGCAAGAAGAUCCACGCCCUUAAUUUUUUCCACAACUUUCUCCAGAGAGAGAGAAAGAACAAGGGGAGCAGGAGACAGAGGGAGAAGCAGGCUCGCCACCUAGCAAGAAGCCCAAGGUACGACUCUAUCCCAGGAUACUGGAAUCAGGAUCUGAGCCAAAGGCAGAUGUGUAACCAACUGAGCCACCCAGGCAUCCCUAUUUUUCUGUGAUUUUGAAAUCAUUUAGUGGAACUUGAAAUAUACAAAGUCAAACAUAUACAUGGCAAAUUGAUGAGUAGGAUUUAUUCUCCAAUCAUCAAGAAUGGAUUCUCAGCAGGAAAGGAAGUUGAACAACUAUAUGAACAAUGAACCACUCAAAUGAUAUCAACUCUGUGACUUUGUCUAGUUACUUAACUUCCCCAAACUUUGGAUUCCACAUUUGUUUGUUUGGGAUCACC